rnacentral:snRNA from 1 species
GGGUUGGUGAGGGCAAUCUAGUCAACAUCCGUCACUCCAUUGCUUGUUAGGCUUAUUUUAGCCGAUGUAUCUGACUGGGCAGGUGUCCCCUCUCUCCCUCAGUGCUCCAUGUGCAUCCCUCUUGAAGCUUCGCACUCUGUUGAAGAGGACACUCAUCCCAGGUAGAGAGGGGGACGGGAAACUGGGCCAA